GUGCAGUGCAGAACAGCCAGCUGAACAGGUGGCAGAGUUGAAGAUGUGCUCAGCAGCUUAAGCAAGUCACACACUGGAAUGCAAGGCUACUGCAGGGUACUUACAGAGCAACGGAGAAUUUGCAGCCUUUUCUGAUGUGAUUCGUUCCUAUCUGUGAGGACAGCACAGUGAUCUCAAACAUUGGAUGGUGUGUUCCUUAGUUUCCGAUGGAGAAGGACAUCGGAGACACCAUCUUCCAGAUCACUGCAUUUUACUGAUCAAAUCCCAAUGCAAGUUGAUGCUGAGAUGAUCAACAUCAGAUGGGUCCUCCACCUGAACCAACAUUUCAACUAUAUUCAUACAGUCAACCAUGUCAAAAAACAUACACAUCAACAAAUCACCUCUGUGUACACUUCUUAGCCCAUGGCAAAUCCUGCAAAGAUUAAACACCACUUCUUUGCAACCAGGUUUUCAAAUCGGUCAACAUCAAACAUGCAGUAAUUGAUAUUCCCCUUAAAUAGCUUCAUUGUGGGGGCCUUUCUGUUGCUAAAUGCUGGGUUAUUUGAAUUAAUUGUGUGACAUUGGCAGAAUUGUUGGAGUUUAUUUCUGCAUCAUCACCAUCUGUCUGCUGUGUGAACCCUUGGACUGUGGCAACAUCACAGGGCUACUGACCAUUUGUCUGAGAAACAAUGUCACAAAUGUAGAAUCUAAAGAAAGAAACCAUUCAGUCAGUCCUGAAAAGUUUGAAUGUCAUCUCUCAAACCAUGUCCUUACAGGUGAUUUGAUUUUGUUUUGUAGCCCGUUGUUCAGAA